AGGAUAAACGCUGGCGGCGUGCCUAACACAUGCAAGUCGAACGUCCUACGCAAGUAGGGAGUGGCGGACGGGUGAGUAACACGUGGGCAAUCUACCUUUCGGUGAGGAAUACCGGCGAGAAAUCGCCGACAAUACCGCAUAUGUUUCGCAAGAAACAAAGUCGCAAGACGCCGGAGGAGGAGCCUGCGCCCGAUUAGCUAGUUGGUGGAGUAAAAGUUCACCAAGGCGACGAUCGGUAGCUGGUCUGAGAGGACGAUCAGCCACACUGGGACUGAGACACGGCCCAGACUCCUACGGGAGGCAGCAGUGGGGAAUCUUGCGCAAUGGGCGAAAGCCUGACGCAGCAACGCCGCGUGGAGGACGAAUGCUUUCUGAGUUGUAAACUCCUUUCAGCAGGGACGAUUGUGACGGUACCUGCAGAAGAAGCACCGGCCAACUACGUGCCAGCAGCCGC
rnacentral:rRNA from 1 species